UCAAUCUGAUAAGAACGAAGAUAAGAAUGGAAGGUUUUGGGAGUAGAAACAGCAAAAACUCUGGAGACCAACCAUCGCAGAAGUGGAUGACCCCAUGUCAGAAACAUGGAGAUUACAUCAGGAUCAAGAGGAACGCCGGGCCGGCGUGAAUUCCCAUUCCUGGGAAAAUUAUGCAGCUUAAGGAGAAGACCUGUAGAGGGCUGCUGACAAGAUGGAGAAUGGGCAGGUUCAUAUGGAUACAUCAGCAGGUGAAUAUUUUUAGCACGGGCUAAGAAAUGAGUAGCUACACUAUAUGUGAUCGAGAGUUUAUGAAAGAUGGCAAACCAGCAGAGAAAUCAAAGCCGAAAGAUCAACAAACAAUCCACGCGAAUCCCUUGCCGACCAUUUCUAGCAUUUUCUGUUUUUGUCAGAUACUGCUGUAUUUUGCUUUGAGAAUAUCAGAACAAAGGGCUCCAGAGAUCACAAAGCUUUUUGGGACCCUUGAUGGAGACUGCUGCCUUUGAAAAAAAUCCCUGAUCCAAAUCAUACUGAACACAUCCUCUCCAAAGAAGUUAUGUUUCAAAAGAUCAUCUUGCCAUUGUGAUUUCGAGAUAAAACACGUUGUUCUGGAUUCAGAAGCAAUUGUAAGCAUGUUGCAUUUCAUUAGACUACUAUCCAGGAGUUACUCACUUUAUUUUUUAUUUUCUUUUAAUUAUUCCUGUUAAUACAUGCUUUCAAGCAUAAAAAAUGUAACAUCUGCAACAGUCCGACAUACCUGGUGACAGGGUAUUUCACCUUAACUCCAGCAAUUAGGGUACAAGCCAGUAAUUUCACUGACUCCAGCAAUCAGCAGAACAUUGGGUAUGAACAGUGGGAGCCAUUCUGAGCACUUAUUCUGCAGUUCUAUUUCUGACUUUUUGCAAAUGCCUCAUUUUCAUUUCUCCAUCGCUGGCUUCAAGCCCUAUGCUCUGGAAGUCCUUCCUAAAGCUUUCUCUCCUUUAAGACUCUCCUCAAACCUUUUAAUUUUAACCAAGACUUUGGUCCCCUGUCCUUAUAUCCUAUAAUAUGUUUGGGUAUCAAUUUUUUUGCAACAGUCCCAUAAAUGCAUUGGAGUGUUUUGUAAUGUUAAAGGUAAUAUUUAAAUACUACUACUUUAAAUAAGUUGCUACUGUUUCACUGUGAGGUAUUUUGCUCAGUGCAUAAGUAACCCUAUUACUUUUCAGUGUUGAAAAGGUUGGACCCUUUUCCCACUGUUUAUUGGCUAUAACUGCAAUACCGCAUGCCCUGUGAAUACAAAACUAGCAAUACAUGCAGGAAAUACAGCUCUUCAUUUAACCCUGUCCAGGGAUUUCAUGCAGUAUUCUCAUGCAGUGAAUUUCGGUAACUUGAGACCUGAUUGAGAUGUUGUAUAUGAAUAUUAAAUGGGUUCUGCUUUUUGGGUUAAUUGACUUGGCUAAAAGCAAAGUGCAGAAUAAUGAAAACUGCAUUCCUAAAUUGAUCUUUGCUUCUACAGUAUUUUUCAGCUUUUUAUUUCAAACCUCUGGCUUAUGAAAGUGUCUGCAUUGACCAAUAAAAUGUACUCUGAUACUGUUGACAUUCA